rnacentral:rRNA from 1 species
GAUUAACGCUGGCGGCGUGCAUAACACAUGCAAGUCGAACGAUGAAACUUAACUGAUUUCUUCGGAAUGAUUUUAAGUGGAUUAGUGGCGGACGGGUGAGUAACGCGUGAGUAACCUGCCUUGGAGAAGGGGAUAGCCUUUGGAAACGAAGAAUAAUACCCUAUGAUAUGAUAAUAUCUCAUGAUAUUAUCAUCAAAGAUUUAUCGCUCUAAGAUGGACUUGCGUCUGAUUAGUUAGUUGGUGAGGUAACAGCUCACCAAGGCAGCGAUCAGUAGCCGGCUUGAGAGAGUGUACGGCCACAUUGGGACUGAGACACGGCCCAGACUCCUACGGGAGGCAGCAGUGGGGAAUUUUGCACAAUGGGGGAAACCCUGAUGCAGCGACGCCGCGUGAUUUAGAAGGCCUUCGGGUUGUAAAAAUCUUUUGUAUGGGAAGAAAAUGACAGUACCAUACGAAUAAGGACCGGCUAAUUACAUG